AAAAAGUAAUGAUAUGUUGCCAUUUUUAUAUUACCAAACUAUAUAUAUAGAAUCAUCUAGAACUAGAGUCUAGAUAGAAGACUACUGGACUGGUCCACAACUCUUCCACGAAAUCUUGGUACUCUUGUUACCGAACGGAAUACCAACAGGCAACAGCUCUUCCAAAUAUUUCAGAUAGACACACAGAGGCCAGAGCAAAACAACUUGAUGACCACGAAGACGUUACCGAACGGAAUACCACGAACGGAAUAGCAACAGUACUCUUGUUACCGAACGGAAUACCACGAACGGAAUAGCAACAGUACUCUUGUUACCGAACGGAAUACCACGAAGUCUUGUACUCUUGUUACCCAUUUGGCCAUUUGGGGUUUGUAAGUAACUUGUUCUCCUUAAAAGGAUUCAACUACAAUCCCCAUCCCAUCGGCCAUCGCUGUUUCCGUUUCCAGUCCGGAUUCCAGAUCAUGGGCACACCUAGCAGCAGCUUUGAUUCCAGAUCCAAUGAGCACAUCUAGCAGCAGCUUUGAUUUCAGAUCUGUUUUCCAGUUCAAAUUCCAGGUCAUGGGCACACUUAUUGUACAGAGGUUUCGUGAUGUCAUGAUUCACUGUGAUGGGUGGUGAAUCUGGGUUCAUGUUCUACUCAUUUGGGUUUGCUGUUUUUGAUUGUAAGUUUGAAUUGGGCAAGAUUUUAUUGAUGUUAUUGAUGUUUAUUCGGCUGAUUUGGUGAUUUUGCUUUCAAUCAGUUUUAAUUUUGGCUGGUUCGGUUAUUAACCGAAUUACCGAAUUUUCAAUUUGGUAAUUCGAGAUUCGGUAAUUCGGUUAUUUCUAAAAUUCGGUUAAUUUUUCGAAUAUUGAAAUUACGAUUAUUUCGAUAUUCGGUUAUAAUCGAAUAGCCUAUUCGGUUCGGUUAUAACCGAAUGAUCAGUCCUGGUGAAAAUGAUUGAAAUGUGUAGUAGAGAGGAAACAUAUUUUUCAAUAAAAACAAAAUUGCACAAACCUUGAAAUUGCUGACAAAGCAGUGACAAGCUUGGCCUCAACUCAGCCCUUCAAAUCUCUAGAAAACAAACUCCAUACUUUCUCCGUAUUCUUAAUUUUGCAAAUAACCAAAAGCGUAACCAUGCAAGAAACAUAAUUCCACCUUUCAUUCAAUCAAGAAGCUCACACAAUACCUAAAAAUAAACGAAUUCUAAAAUGCAUUAUUGCUCUCAGGCAUUCCAUCAAACAGAUGCCGAGCAUUAACUAUUAGUCACCACAGAUUUUGAAGAUCACAUUUUGAUAGAAUAUGUAUAUAUUUUAAAAGUAGUUAUUUGUAUUUAUUAGUUUCUUGAUUAUUAGCCUACACCUUUGUCAAUCAAUGAAAGCAAGAGGGAAUUAUAUUCUUUUAUGGUAUCAAAGCCUAAGAUUUCUUUCUCUCUCGCUUCCGCAACCUUCAUUACCUUCCCCAUCAUCCUCCUUCCUUUUCACUGCGUUGUCGUCCAUCAUGGCCGAAACUCCCAAAUUUCAUCCUGCCUUGGCUAUCACCAAUGUGAAAACUCUCAUCCCCAUCACCAAAUUUCAUCCUGCCUUAGCUAUCACCAAUGUGAAAACUCUCAUCCCCAUCACAUUGGACUUGGAAUCAGGACAAUACCAUUCAUGGGCGGCGUUAUUCAAGGUUCAAGCAAAGGUUCAUGACGUGCUUGAACAUAUCAUCCCACCUACGGAUGCAAAGGAGAAAGCUGUAUGACAAGGCCAAAGCCAAUGAUCUCCCUCUAUGGAAACAGC
rnacentral:lncRNA from 1 species